rnacentral:rRNA from 1 species
GAUGAACGCUGGCGGCGUGCCUAAUACAUGCAAGUCGAGCGAACGGACGAGAAGCUUGCUUCUCUGAUGUUAGCGGCGGACGGGUGAGUAACACGUGGAUAACCUACCUAUAAGACUGGGAUAACUUCGGGAAACCGUAGCUAAUACCGGAUAAUAUUUUGAACCGCAUGGUUCAAAAGUGAAAGACGGUCUUGCUGUCACUUAUAGAUGAAUCCGCGCUGCAUUAGCUAGUUGGUAAGGUAACGGCUUACCAAGGCGACGAUGCAUAGCCGACCUGAGAGCGUGAUCGGUCACACUGGAUCUGAGACCCGGUCCAGACGCCUACGGGAGGCAGCCGUCGGGAACCCUCCGCACUGGGCGAAAGCCUGACGGAGCACCGCCGCGCGAGUGAUGAAGGCCUUCGGAUCGUAAAGCUCCUUUAUUAGGGAAGAACAUAUGGGUAACUAACCGUGCACAUCCUGACGGUACCCAAACAGAAAUCCACGGCUACCUUCGUG